rnacentral:lncRNA from 1 species
CGUCACCAGACCAGAUUUUUUCUGGAUUCUUUUAUGUGAAAGGAAAAUAAACUUCUAUGUUGCUUAAUCCUGGUAUUUUGCAUUGUUCUGUCACAUGCAGCCAAACUGACAUGGGUUCUAAGAUUUACCUUUUCUGUCCACACAUCUUAGAGAGAAGGUAAUUUUAUCCUUGCCUGUUCCAAUGCAGUGUAAAUGGAUCUUUAUUCUUCAUAGGUUUAUUCCCUGAUUAAUGGGGACAGUUUGAAUUAAAUUCUCUCUCAUUAAAAUGAGUACUCUUUCAAAUAGUACCUAGAUAGUCGUUGUGUAUCCAUUUCUCCCUAGUCAGCUCUUGUACUUAGGAGAAAGCUGAUCCUUAGCUUUGGGGUGUUUCCUUUCGGUUUGUGUCAAUUAACAUAAAAGAUAACUGUGCACCAGCGGCCCGUGACCUAAGCAUGAGCUGUUCCUGCAGCCAACAUAGAAUUAGUAAUCUGCAAAAGACAUAGUGACGAGACAGCAUCUCUUAGCAUCUGGGUCAAGAAAACUUGUACUUUAUUCCUCAAUUGGACUUCCAGGUACUGUCUAGAAGGGGUCCAGUAGAACCAGAAGAGUUUUCUCAGAGAGGAAGCAACAUUUUACAACUGAAUCUACACUACAUAUACAGAAGAGUCCAAAGUUGGAAACCUAAGCAAUCCAAGAAAUCGCUGUCCCUACAGAAGUUAAACAAUAGGAUACUUUCUCUCCUGCUUUAAUAAAUGGUUGUUAUCUUGCUCUGAAGAUAAUUGAAGCAGUGGACAUCUCAUAUCCUUUUCUACUUAUUGGGCUAGAGUCAGAGUCACCCUGACUCUGACUUAUUUUUUAAUUGAUAAGCUCUUCAAGUCAGAGAGAACUUGGUGCAACUCCAGGCUCUCCUAAUUAUUUAUGGAAAUAAAUAAAUAUGGACAAGUCCAUUACUAAGUCUGUAAAAUCGAGAAAAUAUGAUAAACCAUGCAUGAUUAUAUUGAGUAUUUAAUAAAGGAUCUUUGGUACCAGGCACUUAGUAGGCUAUGGCUGUUGCUAUGUCACUCCCAUGCUGUCUACUCUUAAAAGGACUCCUUAGGUAGAAUUAAUUAAUUGUGGCUAAUAAUCUGGGUCAGAUUAUGGAAAGUGAAACGUCUGGAAGAAGGAGAAAAUUGUGGUUGUCUCCAGUGAAAUCUAUUUUUUGUGACCUCCCCUUGCCAGAAGUACCAAGUGGUAGACACAUAUGUGUGACAUUGUAAAACAGGCAAUCAAUUCAUCUCUUGCUACAUCUGAUGCAUAAAAUCAAGUAGAAGCACAUAGACCUAAGCACAGAUUUAGGGUUGAUAAAAAAAAAAAGGCACUUUUAUUGAAGUGAUUUAUGGGCCUUUUGGAUAGGAAAUGUUAAAGAAAGGGGCAGCUUAAGUCAUUUUAAUUAUUUAUGAUUUUAUUGUACCAGCGGAAGUCUCCGGUUCGCUCUAACUUGGAGAUGCUUCUACUAAUGCUGAAGGAAAAAAUCUCGUGAUAAUGGAAGACUCAAUUCUUGUGUUGUUAACUGAAAACAUUACUCACGCUCAUCAAAGUAGUUCACGGAAGUCAUUUAAUGUGGUUGUCUUUUCAGUUGAAAGUAUGCUGACUCUGUUGAUGGUUUCUGCUAAUGCAUAGGACACAAAUAGCAGAGCUUCUCCUGUACCUGCAGUUUCUCACGAUAAUCAGCUCACAAUAGUCCUUAUGCCAAAGAGGCAUGUGUGGAGGUGCCAUAUUCUGGUCUCCUACAACAUUCAGUAAUGGUCAAGAUGGUUGAUGCAGGAAACAGAUGGAGGGGCAGAAGUUGAUACUCAUCUCAUUAGAUCCAAAGAAGCCAAAUGGUGGCCAUCACCUGUGACAUGAAGAGGGUAUAUUUUAUGGAACUGGACAGCUUUCAGAAUCACAAGCAACCUCUUCAAAAUGUGAUCUACUGAAACGUGCUUGAAAGAGAGAAUAGGAGUGAGGCGGGCAAAGGAAGCAGAAGCCAUUGUGAACUGCCCUAGAGAAACCUUGGGCAUCUUUUUGUUGGGCAAAGUGGUAGAGGCUGAAACGGGGAAUAGCAUGUAACAUUUUAUUUGACUGAAAUAAACAGCUGUUUGUUUUUUUUUUCUUUCAUAUGUAAGAUAGACAAAAGGUGUUUGACAGAUAAGGAUUGGGGCAAUGUUGGUAUGAGUUCAGCUUUUUAGUUUGUUCUUUAAAAGUGGCCAUCAAGAUGUGGGUGUAAGGUAUUUCACAGUGAUUUGCAUUCAUUCUCAUUGCUGUCACCAUCAAGGCCCAGUUACUCAAUAUCCAAGUUUGUUUUUGUUGUAAUUCAAACAAAAUAAAUACAAGUAGCAGGGCUUUCCAUCCUUCCUGGGAAUAUUGUGUGGGUGCAUCUCAGUGAAUGCCAACUGCUUUCAAAUAAAAUGUGCCAUCUGAAGGAGCACAGUUUCCACUCCAGACCUGCAUGUACAAGACGCAAAACAAGGCACUAGCUGGCUUAGGGGAGUCAUGCCUGAGAGAACGAGUUGUAUAUAAAACUCUGCUGAGGCUGAAAAUAGCACAGAUAUGAAAGACAGAAGCAAAAGAUAUCGGGUGUCCUAAAGUGCCAGAUGCCCAGGUCACUUAAAAGUGGAUGACUCAGAGUCACACAGAGUAGCAGCAUGCUGGGAUCUUUGAGGAAAGCUGACCAACCACAGAGAAGGAAAGGCAAAGUGAUUCCGCAGAGAAUUGAACCAAAUACAAAUUUGCCUUUGUUUUUCAUCCCACAGAAUUUCCUCUUCACCCAUGAGGUUUAUAGCUAUUUUCACAUGACCAUCCACUGAAAGGAAAAUAAAUCUGAUCCUGUCCCAUCUACUCGAAAUGCCUUGUCCUUAGGCCACUCAGCUUGAUCCUCGUAAUAAAAUCACAUAGAAUGGAAUACAUUUUAAGGCAAAAAUGUGUAUGGCUAAUUAGGAUAUUUAUGUAUUGAUAAGAUAAAGAUAGAUGAGAUGCUGGGAGAAUAAAAUAAUUAUAAAUCUUACAACAUCAUGUCAAAGUAUAUGGUAUAUGGUCAAAGUAUAUGGUAUAAAACUACAAAACUGCUAGAAAAAAAUUACAAAAUUAUGAGAGAACUUGCACCUCUUUCAAUCAUGGGUAGAAAAGGCAGCAAAAAAGUUAAUGGGAAUUUAGAAGAUUUAGGCAACAUAAUAAUGUUGAUUUGGUACAUGUAUAAGCCUGAAACUAACAGAUGAUAUAAAACCUUAUGGAUGCCACUGAACUGUGAAAUGUACACAUAAAAAUGCUUAACAUAGCACAUUUUAUUAUAUAUAUCUAUAUAUUUUAUCACUGUAGGGGAUAAAAAAAUAUUUUUUUCUCAGUGAUUGCUAGGUUUAUGCCUGAGGCCUCCCUAAUAACGGAAAGAUUAACAAGAGAUAAACACACAAAUUUGUUUAAUAAAAGUUUCAUUGGAUAUAGGAACCUUCACAAGAAAAUGAAGAUCCAAAGAAACAGGUAAACCUGUAUGCUUUUACAGGUUUACAGGGUGGCCGGCGCCUGCCCUCAGAAUGUUUGGAAACUAAGAAACAUACAUAAAAUAAUUCAAAAAAAAUUUAAAAAAAAAGGGAAAAAAGGAAAAAGAAAUCACAAGAAAUAUUAGAAAAUAUUUAGAAGAAAAUGUAAAUUCCAAGGGAAUAUUUGUGAAAUAUACAUAAAUCAUUCAAUAGAGGGAAUUUUAUAGCCUUAAAAUACAUGCACGAAGAAAUAAAUCUUUCCUGGAUUUCUUUUAUUCCUGCAAAAUUCUGGUUCCCUGAACCACUGAAAUGGAUAUAAUAUGAAGCUAGAGAAUGUUUUCCUUUCCCCCCAAAUAUUUUACUUUUUGCACGUCUUGAGUAUUAAACUGCGGUUAUUUGUCUUCUUUUAGUUGGAACUAAUUCCCUUCCAUCUAAAGGAAAACAAAAGUGUUUUUUUAAUUAAAAAAUUUUAAUUUAUUUUUCUUCU